UAAACUGUGUGUUGCUGCAAUGGGAUAGGAUUCCAAAGCCCCUCGGAGGGAAAACAUAGGCUCUCCUAUCCAACUCCCAUCCUGACACGUCCCAAUUCGUGCAGAGUGGUAACUUGUGUCAUCAAAUAUCCAAGCUUGGGUACACGGGCUUGUUCCAACUCCUUCGAGCGUUCGACACAAUCGCGUUUGAAUAUU
rnacentral:ribozyme from 1 species